UACCGGAUAAUGUCCUUUGGGGGCAUCUUCGGAGGACCAAAGGGGGCGAGCGAAAGCGGCUCCCGCUGAGGGAUGGGCCUGCGGCUGAAGCUAGUUGGUGGGGUAGCGGCCUACCAAGGCAACGAUCAGUAGCCGAUGAGAGGGUGACCGGCCACACUGGGACUGAGACACGGCCCAGACUCCUGGGAGGCAGCAGUGGGGAAUAUUGCGCAAUGGGCGAAAGCCUGACGCAGACGCCGCGUGGGUGAUGAAGGCCUUCGGGUCGUAAAACCCUGUCGGGGAACGAAUCUCCUCUUCUCUAAUACAGGAGAGGAUUCGGUACCACCGAAGGAAGCCCCGGCUAACUACGUGCCAGCAGCCCGCGAAUACGUAGGGGGCGAGCGUUGUUCGGAUUUACUGGGCGUAAAGAGCGUAAGUGGUUCGAUGAGUCGGAUGUGAAAUCCCUCGGCUCAACCGAGGACGCGGA
rnacentral:rRNA from 1 species